rnacentral:lncRNA from 1 species
CUCGUGAUUCUAUGUCGACAAUUUAAUAGAAAAAAAAUGUACUAUUGUACUAGUAAUGUUUUUUGCUAUAUCAAGUUGCUAUGAUGAUGAAUCCUGAUUUGUAAGAACACUGUCAUUCUAGUCUUUUUUUUUAUAGUGGUUGCAGUGUUGAUGUUUUACAACAUGUUAGGCCAAAAUUGACCUACAAUGUAACUGAUCCCUACAUGUACUUCCCAAUUUGUCAUCACCUAAUUUUUUCGUGGAAUAAUCAACAAGGAUCGCUAUUUGUCAUACAUAAAUGCACAAAGUGUUUUUUUACUCCGUGAGCAAUCGGGUAUAUAUAAAUGGAUGAAUAAUUGUUGUGAGCAAUUUCUAAGUUUUGUCGUAAUAUAUAAUAAAAUGAGAUGGACCCUUCUAGGUACUAUUAUACAGACCUACACGCUGUAUCUUUUUUUUUCGUCUUGAACGGCAUAUUAUUUUACUCUCAACUACUGCGUGCUAAUCGGAGAAUUAGCAUAUUUUAAAAUUAGAUUAAAAAAAUCAAAAUUUAAAGCCUUAAGUUUUGUUUGACAUAAACAGAAAAUUAAAAUCUUCAUAAUUCGAGGCUAAGGGCUAUACAUUUUCUCAAAUCGUUAUGAUAUUAUUUCAUUUAACCAGCUUGUAUAUACAUUUUGCUUUUUUUCCAAUGUCACAGGAAGACCAUCGUACUUCAGCGUAACCAUCAUCGCACUUCGGCGUAUAGUUAUCAACUAGUUAACGUCACAAUGUCACCAUCGCACUUCAGCGUAUUAACCAACGCACUUCAGCGUGGACCAUCGCACUUCAGCGUGACCAUCGCGGUUCGGAGUACCAUCGCGGUUCCGAGUCC